GGAAUUGCACACCGCAAAGCCUUGGAAGGCUGUGUUGUCGAAGGCUUUCAUGGCAGGAAUUACUGGUUUGCUUUGAGUUUUCCGGGCUGUAUGGCCAUGUUUCAGAAGCACUCUCUCCUGACGUUUCGCCCAUAUCUUAUGGCAGGCAACCUCAGAGGUUGUGAGGUAACAAGGACAUUUGCACUACAGUGAACAAACAGAACUCAGAGAAUGCAGUUGAACAUUCCUCCAUAACCCAGAUAAGCAUGACACUUUUAUCUUCUAGCAGGAUGACCAACUUCAUUAAUCGUCAGAUGGAGGGCCAUCGAAGAAAUGAGUUUCACUAUUAUGUGAGGAGUCUUUGCCCAGGACUAAAUUGUAUUGCUGAGUAUUAAAUGAGCACUUCACAGCCAUCUUAAGAAAAAACAAAUAUUUAAUCAACAAAGUCUACUGAUCAACAAGUUUCACUGAAGUAUUUUCUUCAUUCUCAAAAACUAAAACUUAACUAGAGUAUUUUUGUAGACAACUUUGUCAAUACAUAUGUCAAUACCCAAAACAGUCCAAGAAAAUGUUUUGCAUUUUGUGUUCAUAUAUUAAGAAUGUACAAACAAAAGAAAUUUGUCACAUAUUGCCUAGAUACAGAACAUGUAGAAAUAUAGAAUCAUGAAGUGACACUUUGAUACCACACUGCCCAUAUUUCAUCAACUGUAGCUAAAUACACAUGAUAAAGAAAUUAAUUUGCAAGAGUUUUUAAAAAAUUGUGCAAUUAUUGAAACAAUGUCAUUAUAGUAUACUGCUGUACACUGGUGAGAUUUAUCUUUUUUUGAUCUCAAUCUUUUAAAAAGAACCCCCCCC